AACCCAUGAUGAGAGCAUAGCCUAAGAAGAUCCUUGAACCUCUCAUGUGCCUCGAAUAAUGUUUUGGACUCUGCCUACUUGAAUGUUGAUAUUUCCUGUCUGAUCUU